rnacentral:rRNA from 1 species
UACGGGAGGCAGCAGUGGGGAAUAUUGCACAAUGGGCGCAAGCCUGAUGCAGCCAUGCCGCGUGUAUGAAGAAGGCCUUCGGGUUGUAAAGUACUUUCAGUCGUGAGGAAGGUGUUAAGGUUAAUAACCUUAGCAAUUGACGUUAGCGACAGAAGAAGCACCGGCUAACUCCGUGCCAGCAGCCGCGGUAAUACGGAGGGUGCGAGCGUUAAUCGGAAUUACUGGGGCGUAAAGGGCACGCAGGCGGUUAAUUAAGUUGGAUGUGAAAUCCCCGGGCUUAACCUGGGAAUGGCAUUCAAGACUGGUUAGCUAGAGUCUUGUAGAGGGGGUAGAAUUCCAUGUGUAGCGGUGAAAUGCGUAGAGAUGUGGAGGAAUACCGGUGGCGAAGGCGGCCCCUGGACAAGACUGACGCUCAUGUGCGAAAGCGUGGGGAGCAAACAGGGAUUAGAUACC